CUCUUCUUGAAUAUAUUUUGAUGUAUGACCUGCCCACUGAGUAUUAAAGGGCCGCGGUAUUUUGACCGUGCAAAGGUAGCAUAAUCAUUAGUCUUUUAAUUGUAGGCUGGAAUGAAUGGUUUGACGAGGUGUUAACUGUCUUUAGUUUUUUUUAAUUGAAUUUAAAUUUUAGGUUAAAAUGCCUAAAUAUUUUUUUGGGACGAGAAGACCCUAUAGAGUUUUAUAUAUUUUUAUUUUUUUGUGUGAUAAUUUUUGAUUUAAAAAUUUAUUUUGUUGGGGUGAUGGGAAGAUUGAAUUAACUCUUUUUGUUUUAUUAUAUUUAUUUAUAUGUAUUUGAUCCAUUUUUAUUGAUUAUAAGACUAAAUUACC
rnacentral:rRNA from 1 species